GUUUGAUUUAUAAUAAUAAUCGAGAAUAACAUUUAAGUCAUAUUCGCACAAUGAAAAUUAUAAGCAUCGCUUUUGUUAUGGCCAUUAUGGUAAUCCUUUUGGUAUUGCCCAUUGAGAGUUGCCGAUGUCUGCAAGGAUCGAAUUUGGGGGGCAAAGCAUGUGCCUGUGCUAUUAAACAUUGAUUUGGAAUAUGGAAGAUAUUUGCAAAUUUUUGGUCAAACACCAAAAAAUGGGAUUUUCAAAAGCUCCACCAAAAGACAAGCGCUGUCAUAAGAUUACACAUCAACCAUUAGCUAAUCAAGGAAAAAUUAAAAAAAAAACCACAAACUUUUUGUCGCUCCCUUCUUUCGGCAAUUCUUCAAAAUCAGCUGUUUUUCUUUACCAAAAUCUGCUGAUUUCGAUCAGCGAACAAAACGAUUGAAAAAAAAUUAGAGAUUUUGGCAGUAAAUUGUAUUUUUUGAUGCCAUAUUAAUUAAGCGAAACUCUAUCGUACCCAUUGUCGGCCUGUAAGACAUUUAAUUGCAGCAAAUGGAAUUAUAUCAAUGGAAUUAAAAUUAUUAACAAAUAAAGAUUAACUACUACAGU
rnacentral:sRNA from 1 species